UACGUAGGGUGCAGGCGUUAAUCGGAAUUACUGGGCGUAAAGCGUGCGCAGGCGGUCUUUUAAGUCAGAUGUGAAAUCCCCGGGCUCAACCUGGGAACUGCAUUUGUGACUGCACAGCUGGAGUGCGGCAGAGGGGGAUGGAAUUCCGCGUGUAGCAGUGAAAUGCGUAGAUAUGCGGAGGAACACCGAUGGCGAAGGCAAUCCCCUGGGCCUGCACUGACGCUCAUGCACGAAAGCGUGGGGAGCAAACAGG
rnacentral:rRNA from 1 species